rnacentral:rRNA from 2 species
GCUCAGGACGAACGCUGGCGGCGUGCCUAAUACAUGCAAGUCGAACGAACUCUGGUAUUGAUUGGUGCUUGCAUCAUGAUUUACAUUUGAGUGAGUGGCGAACUGGUGAGUAACACGUGGGAAACCUGCCCAGAAGCGGGGGAUAACACCUGGAAACAGAUGCUAAUACCGCAUAACAACUUGGACCGCAUGGUCCGAGUUUGAAAGAUGGCUUCGGCUAUCACUUUUGGAUGGUCCCGCGGCGUAUUAGCUAGAUGGUGGGGUAACGGCUCACCAUGGCAAUGAUACGUAGCCGACCUGAGAGGGUAAUCGGCCACAUUGGGACUGAGACACGGCCCAAACUCCUACGGGAGGCAGCAGUAGGGAAUCUUCCACAAUGGACGAAAGUCUGAUGGAGCAACGCCGCGUGAGUGAAGAAGGGUUUCGGCUCGUAAAACUCUGUUGUUAAAGAAGAACAUAUCUGAGAGUAACUGUUCAGGUAUUGACGGUAUUUAACCAGAAAGCCACGGCUAACUACGUGCCAGCAGCCGCGGUAAUACGUAGGUGGCAAGCGUUGUCCGGAUUUAUUGGGCGUAAAGCGAGCGCAGGCGGUUUUUUAAGUCUGAUGUGAAAGCCUUCGGCUCAACCGAAGAAGUGCAUCGGAAACUGGGAAACUUGAGUGCAGAAGAGGACAGUGGAACUCCAUGUGUAGCGGUGAAAUGCGUAGAUAUAUGGAAGAACACCAGUGGCGAAGGCGGCUGUCUGGUCUGUAACUGACGCUGAGGCUCGAAAGUAUGGGUAGCAAACAGGAUUAGAUACCCUGGUAGUCCAUACCGUAAACGAUGAAUGCUAAGUGUUGGAGGGUUUCCGCCCUUCAGUGCUGCAGCUAACGCAUUAAGCAUUCCGCCUGGGGAGUACGGCCGCAAGGCUGAAACUCAAAGGAAUUGACGGGGGCCCGCACAAGCGGUGGAGCAUGUGGUUUAAUUCGAAGCUACGCGAAGAACCUUACCAGGUCUUGACAUACUAUGCAAAUCUAAGAGAUUAGACGUUCCCUUCGGGGACAUGGAUACAGGUGGUGCAUGGUUGUCGUCAGCUCGUGUCGUGAGAUGUUGGGUUAAGUCCCGCAACGAGCGCAACCCUUAUUAUCAGUUGCCAGCAUUAAGUUGGGCACUCUGGUGAGACUGCCGGUGACAAACCGGAGGAAGGUGGGGAUGACGUCAAAUCAUCAUGCCCCUUAUGACCUGGGCUACACACGUGCUACAAUGGAUGGUACAACGAGUUGCGAACUCGCGAGAGUAAGCUAAUCUCUUAAAGCCAUUCUCAGUUCGGAUUGUAGGCUGCAACUCGCCUACAUGAAGUCGGAAUCGCUAGUAAUCGCGGAUCAGCAUGCCGCGGUGAAUACGUUCCCGGGCCUUGUACACACCGCCCGUCACACCAUGAGAGUUUGUAACACCCAAAGUCGGUGGGGUAACCUUUUAGGAACCAGCCGCCUAAGGUGG